UUGCCGAAGGCAGCGAGCGCAGGAGCUGACAAGGCUCGGUCUUCACUGUGCCCGCAGAAACAGCCCCAAGCUUACAUCUGGAAGGGGAGGAAGGGGAAGGACUGAAGGCUGAGUGUUGGUUUAUCAGGGGAUCUUACAAAGCAGCUUCCUGCUGCAGAACACACUUGAAAACACUGAGCCUUUACUACAAAUUCACACACGCACACAUUUUUUAAACGUUUGCUGAGGCUGUCCGUAGGACCCAGCUAAGCCUGACCUCCACAGGCCUUUCAGUGGCAGAAACAGCGAUUUCCCCUGAGUAGUAGUUCAGUUCUGCAUUUGCUGUCUUUGUGAGAUAAUGGCAGAAGGGGUUUUUUCCAGACUCUAAAGGAUGGCUUACAAUUUUAAUUAGAACACCUCAAACAAUUUCAUGCAAGAGCCAUCAAAGCAAAGCAGAAACGGACACACUGGCGUCAGAAAAUUUCAUUGCGUUAGCAGUGGUUCCUGGGCUGAGAAGUAGUCCCUGCAAGAACGCAGAGCCUGUGGUGAGAUACAGCAGUAUAAACAAGGUGUCUCUUCCUUUCCUGCUUGGAUGGGUUUCAUCUCGCCGCCUUGAAGCUGCCUACAAGCCAGCACUGCAAGACUGCUAGACUUACUUCCCAGUUGGUUCAGAGAUUGAAAAGCUGGUGACCUUCUGCCUUCAGCACAGAAGUGGUGUGUUUGGUGGAGCUGCUGGAGAGACAAGGAUGAACUUCCCAUAGGAAUCAAGAGGCAUAAAGGGAUGCUUCUAGAUGCCCAACUGGCUACAUUCUUGUUCAACUCAUCCUCGAAGACUGCUGAGAUUUAGCUGUAUUAUUAAUGAUAAGUUACAGUGCCUGGAGACAUGGAUGAAUAAUAACUAAAAAGGUCUAUUUGACA